AAGUCAUUUUAGAAUGUCUAGCA
rnacentral:siRNA from 1 species